GUGCCCACUUCAGCAGUACAUAUACUAAAACUGGAACAGGACUGAGAUUAGCAUGGCCCCUGUGCAAGGAUGACAUGCAAAUUCUUGGAGCAUUCCUUUUUUUC
ensembl:snRNA U6 U6 spliceosomal RNA